GACAGAGGGGGCAAGCGUUGCUCGGAAUUACUGGGCGUAAAGGGCGCGUAGGCGGGAUGGCAAGUCGGUCGUGAAAUCCCUCGGCUCAACUGGUGGCUUGCUUUCGAUACGGGCAGACUGGAGGUAUGCAGGGGAGAACGGAAUUCCUGGUGUAGCGGUGAAAUGCGCAGAUAUCAGGAGGAACACCGGUGGCGAAGGCGGUUCUCUGGGCAUGUCCUGACGCUGAGGAGC
rnacentral:rRNA from 1 species